AUUCAGCUGACGAGUCUCUAAUAGGACGAAGUGUGCGUCCUGGGU
rfam:Schistosoma mattheei strain Denwood, Zambia genome assembly, scaffold: SMTD_scaffold0001659